UAAACAGACAUCAACACACAGUUUUGCCCUAUAAAUAGAGAAGUUGGAGAAACCCUCAAAUCACACAAACUCAUGUUCUCAUUAGUGCCUUCUCUAGUCUCCCUGUUCGUCACUUUUCUACCCUACAGUCCUACAAGUCCCCAACUUGUUUAGGAUUUUCUUGAAAUUAAGAUGACAGGAUGAAGUGAUAUUGGUGAUGAGUUGACAGAAGAUAGAGAGCACAGAUGAUGGGAAUACAAUAACUUCCUAUGUAUCUCAAUCUUUGUGCUCUCUAGUCUUCUGUCAUCACCUUCUGCCCUCACCCUGUUGUUUUAAUUUUCUUGACUUUUUUCUUCUAAACUAUUCACUGUCAAAACCGUUAUCUUGGCCAGAUAAAAGGUGUAAAGGCUUGACCAGGGUAUGUACAACGGGUGGCGGCGGGACUUGAAUGUAGAUUUUUAUUUCGUUUGAUACCACAUAGAACUAACUUUUCUGAAAGCCAGAUGAGAUGGUUCAAGGUCAACUUGGUAUUUGGUUCCCCUCUCUUGCCAGCGAUUACAGUGAGCUCAUAUACAUAUUUUAAGAGUGGAAGGCAGUGAGAGUGUUGUUGACAGAAGAUAGAGAGCACAGAUGAUGAAGUGCUUGAAAUUGGCCCGCAUCUCACUCCUUUGUGCUCUCUAUUCUUCUGUCAUCACCCUCCACCCAUCUUCCAUAAUGCAUUUUGCACUGUUUUUGUUCAAAUUCAUGAUAAUUCCUCAAGCCAAAUAGAAUGUUAUCUUAGCUUGUUUCUGGAGUUGAAAUUCAUAGAUUAAUUUUAUUAGCUAUUCCGGGACAGAAAAGAAAAAGAAAAAAACCACUUGUUAUCUUUUGCAUCAACUUGAUUAUUAUUCUCUCUCCCUUCUUAUCCUAUACUCCAGCGAGUCCCUCACUUCCAGAUUGAGUUGGAGAGUAAUUUUUUGGCAUAUCUAGUUAGGACUUUAUUUAUAUGUCCUUAUCUUCUUUCUACUAGCUAGUAGACAACCUGGCUUGUCCCAAUUAAGUUAUGUUUGCAAAUUGCAGCCAAACAUAUGGAAUCCCUUGCACAUAUCUUUGCUAUGUUCAAUUGGGCACUGGUAAUUGAGAUUGAAGAAUAGAAUGAGAGAAAACAAAGAGAUGGGAACCCUCACAAAUGGCUCACACACAAACUGUGUGAAGAAAAUGGAGAAGUGUGCCUUUUAUACGCCACCACAAAACCACAGAUUCAACGUUCGAUAUUCAGCCACGUGCAAGCCAAAUUGCACCAAAAUACAAUUCAAAAGUCACAUUUCAAGAAAUGCACCUUUUUAAAAUAAUAGUCAAAGGUCCAAGUCCAAGUCCAAGUCAAUUUCAACAUGUAUGUUUCGAAGAGUUGUGUUGAGUUUUCGAUAUUGUAUUAAUGAGGAGAAAAUUUAGGCGUAACUCUUGUAUGUUGUAAAGAGAUGUAAGACUUGCAGUCUACAACUUGAGGAUUACUGUGUUUGUUGAACUGCUAAAUCCUUGAAUCAAAUGUUUCUA